ensembl:lncRNA
GUGAUAAAUAAUGGUUGCAUCGAAUUCCUGGGCCGCUUGCUUUCUUCAGGUCUUAAUGCAAAACAAAACAUUCACCUCUGACAAUCCUGAUGCCGGUGAAGUCCUCAAUGAAUGGUAACUGCUGCUUUUAUGUUAAAACACGGCUGCGAAGUAUGUCACAUGUCGUGAGACGGUAAGACCGGGGGUGCUUGCGCAGAAACACCGACGAGGAGACGCGCUUCUCAGACAGUGCAUUUGGGAUGGGUUCCUCAACCCGGGCAGGUGGAGAUCCGCAGAGCCUGGGAGGGGACUGUCUCGUGACAGGGGAUGGAGAAGGGGCAAAGGACAACAAAGGGAGUGGAGAAAGUUUUCGGGAGUGAGCAGAAUGGAGAAGCGAAGAAGAGGGUUUCAUACCCACAUUGCCCAGGUGAGACGCAAAGGAUCAGCCGAGCCAAGUCAUGUAACGGAAAAAUAAACACACAAAGAAAUACGCCUCGGGGCCGGGAGGACAUGUUAGGGCCCCUUCCCGAGGCUUCUGUCCUCGCCUCUCUUCUCUUCUCUGGGAGGAAGUGCUAAGAAAGAAGGAAAAAACUGCAAGAUCCUUUCGGUCUCGCUCGGCAUUUGUCGGGUCUUUUUCUGACUCCCCCGUCCUGCGUACAAGAGCAAGAGCAAGGGUUGCACGCUUUGUCAGAGAGAGGGAGAAGCUGCACACGUUCCGGGUGUCUGCCGAGACCUGGGAUCCCAGCACACGUGGGACUGUCACGGCGGACACGUUCUCGGCACAUUCCCAGCUCCGACUCGGCGCCUCCUCUGAGUUCAGGCACUGGGACCCUAACUCCAGGAUCUCAGGAUGCGGCAGGUUUUGAAAAUGGCGUCUUCAUAGACAUGAUGGAAUGAGGUCCCCAGGGUGGCCCCGAGCCCAGGGCUGGGUCCUCCUGAAAAGAGGGCGGGAGGACGCGGACACACACAGGGACGCGCUUGUGAGGACACAGGAAGCCUGGGGGGAGCCAGCGUUGCCCACGCUGGGCCUGGGGCCUGCAGCUCCGGGAUGUCCGAAGUUGAAGGGACCAGGCGAGGGGACUUUAAUUUGCAGAGGGAGGGCACAAUUCUGCUCCUAACAGGAAUUAGGCAUGUGGCAAAAUGCGCCUUCUACAACAGUGCUGCGUACACUGGAAAGCAAUGCAUUCUCUCCCUGGUGCAAACUAGGUAAGUGUAUUGCCAGCGUGCGGAUGUGUGUGUGUGUGUGUGAGUGUCAGUGUGCAGGGUGCAUCCACACUUUCUUAGGAGGCAAAGACAGACCCCACUGAACUGGAAAGAGGAUCUCGCUCUGUCCUGGGAAUUAAGGGCUGUGUAGUGUGCUGUUUGCAUUGCAUGGUGUGGUGUUGUGCGCCAUUGUGUUGUGUUGCACACCAUCCCCGAGAUGUGGCAGGGAAUCGGUAGUGGCUAGAAUUCACACAUGGCACACAUGCACUAAAAAGUCAACUCUGCAGUGCUUAUGUUGAAAGUUCAAUGUCACGCCAACCACGCUGACAUAUUAAGGGAAAAUUUGAGCAUAAUGCACAAUUUGCGUUUGUGUUUUUUUCAUGAUCACCUCUGCAGAAAAGAAAAAUCAGAAAAGCUAAGUGAGCAAAGGAAACUGCAUCUAAACAGAGUGUUUUACCUGAGAGGGAAAAAGCACUUGUAUGCUCAUCACAAACGGGUAGGAGCUCCUGGAUUUCAUGUGUCUUAGGAGCAUGAUACGCCCCGGGCCAGCUGAGCCCAGGCUCCUGGCUGGCUCACUUCCAGCCUUCUCCAGCAGAUAUUUUUCAUUUAUUCUUAUCUUUUCUCAAUGCUUUCCCACGGAGGAGUUCAUACAUCUGGCCUCUCCAUGAGAUUCUUGAUGCCACAUUUUUCUCCCUGGAAGCUGGUGUGGUGGCCCACACCUGUCAGCCCACUACUCUCUCGGGAGGCUGAGGCAGGAGGAUUGCUGCAAGUUUGAGGUCAGCCUGGGCUGUGUAGCAAGACUGUCUCAACAAAACAAAAAUCAAAACAAAAUAAAGCUGUAUGCUUCUGUCCGUGGGAGAGAGACAUCCAUUUCCCUAUCGGCUGUGACAGGCUGGUGUAAACUUUGGAAGCCAGCAACUAUUCGCUUCUUUUUUAUUUUUAGGAGUGCAUAUUUACAACACGUAACGAUUGCAUUCCUCAUGGGGAGGUGGGGUGUGCAUAAUGCAGCUUAAUGCUUUUACUUCUCUUUCUCCUCCUCUCCAUCUUUUUGUCCCCUUCUCAUUUGAGAAAUACCUGUUUCUCUACUUCUUAUUACCUCUCUUUUAUUUUGCUAUUUAUCUAUACUUUCUGUUGCUGAUGUAAGAGAAACCAUGUGAUACUGAAGCUCGUGCAUCUGAUUUAUUUCACUUAACAUUGUGGUUUCAAAGUGCGUCUGUUUUCCUACAAAUGACUCAAAUUUUUCCUUCUUUAUGACUGAGUAGUACUCCAUUGUGUGUAAAUACACUAGACCCUUGACUUAUGAACUCAAUCCAUGCCUGAGAGUGGGUUGUAACUCAAGUUGGUCAGUGGAGGCUCAGCUCCUCCACACAGCCUUCAGAGUCUCUCUCCUGUCCACAGGCAGAGCUCAGUGUCCUUGGAGACACCCUGGCUCAGGAUUUCUCAGUGAACCCCACGCAGGACAGGGUGCUGUCCUGUUCCUUUCACAGCUCUUUAGGGUUCAGUCUGUACCGGAGACAAUCUGGGAGCACAAGCGGCCAGUAUUUGGGUCGUAACUCAAGACUUUGGUCGUAAGUCAAACCCAGGAUCUGGUCAUGAUCCAAGUUGUUCUUAUGCCAGACCGGUCGUAACUCGAGGGUCCAGUGUAUCACAUUUUCUUGCUUUGCCUUUUUCUCUUUGGUCUUUAGGCAUUAGGGUGAGGUUGAGGGUAAUUUUGUCUGGAGGAGUUGAAUUUGGACUUCAAGACUGUGAGGUGUGUGUGUGUGUGCGCGUGUGCGUGUGUGUGCAUGUGUGUGCGUGUGCAUGUGUGUGCGUGUGUGUGCGUGUGCAUGUGUGAGACAGCAUGUUCUUUGGGGUCGGAGUUGCAGUGCGAGACAUGCAGACCCUGGAGCACUCUCGUGUUCUAGAGUGAGACUCCUCGCCCACCGUCCUGUCCCGUUUCUGGGAACCACACACUGCAGCGCAGUUGUUUGUUGAGUGCUUGUGAGGCGAGACCACCCCCCGGCAGCUGGACAGGUCCUCACAGGGAAAGAUGAGCAGCAUCCCGUCACACGUCUCGAUGCCCGGCUCGAAUUUCGUUCCUUCUCUGUUGGAAGGUGCAGCUUAUCUGACCGGAAGCCUCUUCGGGUCUCACUAUGGUGCUGAAUUGCCAACCUGGACUCACACUUGUGAUCCCCCUGCCUCACCCUCCCUGGAGUGCUGGGAUGACAGGUGUGCACCAUCACACCCCGCUCACAAUUGACUUUUUAAAGUGCUGCUCAUUUUGCCCCAGCUUGAAAAACAGAGACUGAUGAAAUUGUUGCAAGACUGUAGAAGGUUUUUAAUGCUUUGUUGCUGUUGUUAAUCCACCAAGGCAGUAUGCAUUUUCCCGCUGGAGAAAUACCUUCUAAACUGGAUCCAACAUUCUGAGCCCAUUUCUGCCUUGGGACCUACAUCACUGUAGGACUGGAGGAGGGGAGGAAUCUUACCGGAUCCUUUUCGUGUUUAUAUUUACAAUAGAACAAAGGCUGGGGCAGGCAUUCUGCAAUUUCUGCUUUUUCUUUUGAUGCAUGAAACAGUAACCUUCCACUGUGUUGUUUACGUGUGGAACUGAGCAUGUUUUGUAAGUGCUGUGCUAGAGAUCGUGAGGCUGAGGGGUGCACAGGGCUAGAUGGAGCCCCAGACUGGCUUCGGGGACAUUUUGCAGCCUCGAUCCCACUGCCCUAAGCUGUCCAUGGCUCUGAAGUUCAUUCCCCUCCUCAGACCCUAUUCUCAGGACAGAAGCUGGUAACAGACAGGUGCAGAGGUUCAUUUUUACCAAUGUUUUAAAAUCUUUUGUCAGUGUGUGUUACUUGCACCCAUUCACGAAUUCCGGUGUGAUAUCUCCAUACAUCCACGCAGCACGUACAAAUCCAAUGGAAAGUCCAACUUCUCCCAUCCCAUCUCCUUCCCAGUCUCUAAGGAUUGCUAUUCUCCUUUUAGCUUUGCCAUGUGACAGAGGACACACGACAUUUGUCUUUGUGAGUCUGGCUUAGUUCAUUGAACACAGUGGUCUCCAGCCCCAUCCGCUUUUGUGUGUAUGAUAUGUCAUCCUCCUCCGUUGGCUUCUUUGUGAUUCUUUAGGACCAGAGAGUGCCAACACCAUGUGUAUGGACCCCACCGUGUCUUUAUCCAUCCAUAUAUGGAUAAGGCUGGUUCCUCAGGCUGGUUCCUUAUCUUGGCUCCUGGGAGUUGUGCCAUGAUAAACAUGGGCAUGGAGGGCCAAGGAUUUAGCUCAGUGGUUUCACCACCUGCUGCGCAAGCGCAAGGACCCGAGUUCAAUCCCUGGUACCAAAAAAAAAAAAACCCCAAAAACAUGGGUAUGGAAGUCUCAUUACUGUUCUAACCACAUUUCCUGUGGGUAUGUGAUGUCUGAGUUACUUUCCAUCACAGUGACAAAAUAACAGACAUACACAACUUAAGGAAGGAGAGGUUUAAGUUGGCUGUUGGUCUCAGAGGGUUCAGUCCAUGGUCUGCUGCUCCAAGGCAGGAACAUCAUAGUGGAUGGCAUGGAGGAGGAAAGAUGCUCACAUCAUGGUGGCCAGGAAGGAGGGGCAGGGGGACUCACGGUUCUCAUGGUCUCAGAGGGUUCAGUCCGUGGUCAGCUACUCCAAUGAUCUCAGAGAGUUCAGUCCAUGGUCAGCUGCUCAAAUGGUCUCAGAGGGUUCAGUCCAUGGUUGACUACUCCAAUGGUCUCAGAGAGUUCAGUCCAUGGUCAGCUGCUCCAAUGGUCUCAGAGGGUUCAAUCCAUGGUCGGCUGCUCCAAUGGUCUCAGAGGGUUCAGUCCAUGGUCAGCUGCUCCAACGGAUUCCGAGGGUUCAGUCCAUGGUCGGCUGCUCCAAUGGUCUCAGAGGGUUCAGUCUAUGGUCGGCUACUCCAAUGAUCUCAGAGAGUUCAGUCCAUGGUCGGCUGCUCAAAUGGUCUCAGAGGGUUCAGUCCAUGGUCGGCUGCUCCAAGGCAGAAACAUCAUGGUGGACGGGCAUGGAGGAGGAAAGAUGCUCACACCAUGAUGUCCAGGAAGCAGAGAGAGAAGGGAGGAGCUGGGACAAGAACUCACCCUUCCAGGUCAUACCCCAGUGACCUCCUCCAGCCAGGCCCCACCUCCUGCAGCUCAUUCACCAGGAGCUCAUCCGUGAUGCAUCCACUGAUGAGCACAGUGCCCCAUGACCCAGUCACCUUCCAAAGCCACUCCUGUGAAUACAGGAGAUUUGGGGAGACAUUUUUGAUCCAUUGACCAAUAUCCUGGGUAAUCAAGUUCCAGUGCAGGUAUUUGAAGUUCACUCAAUUAAAACUGGCUGAAGAAAAGCCAACUGACUCUCUAGAAAAGAAUGAACUGAGUGUAUUUCAUAACUCAUGAGUUGCAAACUGAGCAACAUACAAAGAAUCUGAAGCCUCACGUUAUGAAGUCAAAGGGAAACAAAGGAAACAAAGAAAAAUAUGGGCUCAAGGAGCUCGUGCAAGUCUGAGUGCAUUCUUCACUCACAAGGUGAGGUAACAAAUGAAGCACAGAAGGCCUCGUAUGUUCCUCUGACUUUCCACCACAUCUCCUGUAGGGUUCGACCCUCGUGUUCUGAGUGCUCGAGCACUCCUCCCAAAGCGUAUCAUAACAGAGAUAAGAUGCGCCAUUCCCAGUGCAGGUUUUUAAGCUAUAAAGUUGUCCCCACGAGCUUCACAUUUGCUUUUACCUGAUGCAACUUCAGCUCAUAGGUAGCUGUCUUGGUUACUUUUCUCUCAUUGCUGAGACAAAAUACCCAACACCCAAAGGUAAAGGAGGAAAGGUUUAUUUAGCUCACUGUUUGUGGAGGUUUCAGUCUGUAAUCAGCUGGCUCCAGUGCAGGGUAGAUGCAGAGGGGCGUCGCAGAGGAGAAACAAUCCACGGCAUGACAGGCAGAAGGCAGCAAAAGCAGCAAGGGACCUUAGCAGUUUCUUUCUGCGCCUUUUAUGCUCUCUCUGGGCUCCUGGGUUUAGGGCAGUGCCAAACCAAUCAGUGGACUGAUUUAGUAAUCAACCACCCUGCAUCCCAGCAUUGCAUCCUGCAUCAGUCACACACUGGAUCCAGCCACCUCUGAAAAAGUCUGCAUGAGGCUUUGGGCGGACAGCUAGACACAACGCAGAGCAGAAGCAAACCCAGGAGUUGGGCUCUCUGGAACACUCUGUUAAAAGGGGAAUAGAUUCUCACUUUCUCUGAAUUCUGGGCCUUUUAUUGUGGGUAUUUACAGCAAGGAUAGUGGUUCCUUUUUUCCCACAACAUCUCUGGAGUUGGUGGUGGAACCAUAUGGCUGCCCAGUGUCUACAACCUGCCUUUGAAUCCUACCUUGGGAUCCUCAUCGAGUUCCAGUUAUGGUUGAUAUGUUGACCACCAUGGGAAGGGAAAUGGUAUCAAAGAGAAAUUUCUUUCUCCUUCCUUCCUUCCUUUUUUAAAAAAUGCUAUUGAUUAAACCCAGCACCUUGCACAUGCUACCAAUGUGCUCUACCACUGAGCUACACCUCUACUCCUUUAAUUUAUUUUGAGACAGAGUCUCACCCACUUGCCCAGGCUGGCCUGAAACUUGCAACCCUCCUGCCUCAGAUUCCUUCGUAGCUGGGAUUACAGGCCCUCACCCAUCGCAGGCUCAAAGAGCAAUUUCUAGAUGCCAAGCACAGCCUGGCUAAAUGACCUUGGUACCAUAUAGCACUGAGAACAAAGUACUGAGGUGUGUUCUGACCCCCUCGGCAGCACGACCUGAAAAGUUAAGCAUGGCUGUAACUUCAUAACGAAAGUGUGCAGCUAACAGUAAUAACCUGUAGAUCGAACUAAUAUCCACAUUCCCAGAAUAGGAAUAGAGGGAAAUAAUGGGUCAAAAUUUGAAAGUACAGUGAAAACACAAAAAGAAAGAAGCAAGCCACCUUAUUUGCCAGUUUAAAAAGUUCCUUGAAGGUGGGCCUGGAGGCUCACACCUGUAAUCCCAGCUCUUGAGAGGCUGAGGCAGGAGGAUUGCUGCGAGUUCGAGGUCAGCCUGGGAUACAGAGUGCGUUCAAGGCCAGCCUGGGAUAUACAAGCAAGGCCCUCCCUGUUCAAAAAUCCAUUCAAAAGUCUUGCAAAACACUGAAUUCUGUAAUUUCAUAAAAGCCAAUUUCUUGCAAAACAAUUCUACCGCCCCAAAACAGAAAGUAAUGGAAUCCAUUCAUUUUACAAUCAGCAAUGGCAUCUGUCUAAUAGAGGAUUAUGUUUUUUAAAUUGAUGGCACCUUGCAGAAUUCAGUUUGUUUUUUGUGAACGCAGCAGGCUUUCAUCCGAGUUUAUGAACAGAACUAGCCAGUGGGCAGUGUUGGAGACGCAAUUAAACACCGCCAGAAGACCCGAAACGGGAAGACCUUGUCUAAUCCCUUUCUGCACCGGGCCGGGGAAAUCUCUUCUGGCAAAGUCUGGUCCCGCUGCAGAGGGUUAAGUGUUGGCUGUAAAUUUCCUGAGUCUGUACUUCAUCAUUAUUUUCUUUCAACGGGAGCUUUUAUGCUCUUCACAAAUUGAAGAACCGCUCUGGAGUUCACACGCGGCCGGGACACAUGGUGGUCCUAAUUUUCCAGGGUCACCAACCCAGAAAUGUUCAUUAUUUACAUGGCUCCUUGCUAAACUGGAUUCCUCUCUUAAGAAAAGUGGUCAUGAAUGGAGGUCAAGCUUGGACCGUGGACAUUUACUGGAAAAUGAAACAAAAAUAAAAGAAAUAAGUUCUGAUUCUCUUUAGAAUAAGUCUUACAGGUAAGUUUGGUUUCUCGGUCGGAUGCCUUCUUAGUCAAGCAAAGCGAAACGCUAGUAGCUGUGUGUGUCCACCCUGCAUUUCACCGUGGCUUUGUUUCUAAAAGAAAAUUUCUAAGUCAAGUGCUAAUUUGUUUUUGCCCUUAGAAAAAUUGAGAGUAGUGGUAAAUGCAAAGGUGGGGACAAUUGAGGACCAGGACAUCUCAGAUCCUCUUGGAAAUAAGUAAGAAAACACUCGCACCUCUUCAAGGCAAAGCUAGGUGUUUUGUCCCUUACACGUUUCCCAUCUGAUCUUCAUGGCAAUCACAAUAUUGUCACUUUUCCUCUUGCUUUUACAGGUAGGAAAGCCAAUGUGAAACAGGAAAACUGAAUCCAAAUUCAUCCAGCGUAAAAACCCAUGUAAUAUUUUCUUCCCUCUGGAAACGGGGGUGUCCGUGUACUUGACGUGGUUUGCACCAAAACUUAGGCAUGUGGUCCUGCCUGGGAGUUAAACAGGCACACGGAUUUCUUUGGAGAUUUCCAGUUCUUCGAAUGCGAUUUGCAAAAGCCAGAUUCUCUUGUGUGUAGGCUGAGCUGUCUCCCAGAAAACCAGGGGGAGAAGCCAGGCUGUAAAAAGCCCCCAAAGCAUGCAGCGCUCAGUCCUGCGGGUCGGGUUAGGGGCCAGGACUGGGUGUGGUUGUUUCCAAGGGGGAAAAAUUGGUGGAAAAAUACAUGAAUUACUCCCAAGCUACUGGCUGGGUUGGUAUUAUUUAGAAAAGAGUCAACGCGCCUAAUUCGUUCCAGAAGCCUGCUUAUCCAAACAAUGAACGCACUUCAGGCCCCCUCAGGUGAGUCAUCCACGGCCCGUCUCUGCUUUGGAUCAUUGAACUCUCUGUCCACCCAAAUCCAAGACCCAGCUCUGCAAUCAGGUUUUUUUUAUUGUUGUUUUUUUUGCAACCAUUUUAAAAGAGACAUAAAAUAAAACGGAGAGGAAACUCGAUGCCGAGAAACACACAGAGCUGCACACAUCUGGGUUUGAUUGGGGCUGUGUUUUUAUUUCCAUGUUGCAGCUUUCAUUUUUCCAAAUGACCGAUGGGUGAAAAAUUUUUAAUGGCUGUAACCCUUUUUUUCCAACCGACAACGGCGAUCCGGGCUGUCAGAGCCCCAACCACGUUGCACGGUUCUGCGAAAACAUAUCAAGGAUAGAAGUCUCCCGUCCUUACAAAAGCCCUGCUUAAUUGAUCGCGUAUGCUAUAGGGUGGCCACGUCUCCAUGUCUCACAUGACCGUGUGCAGCCUGGGGUAAUAACAGAGCCCAGGAUCCAUUUAAUAAGGCAAGUGCUGGAUAUUUGAAUUGGGGAGAAAAAGAGGCAAAAUAGAUAGAUAGAUAGAUAGAUAGAUAGAUAGAUAGAUAGAUAGAUAGAUAGAUCAACACAGGCUAUAUUCAGUGUACACCUCAUCUCAAAUAAUUAUUUUCCACAAUAAUGAGAUUUGAUUUUCUUUCUGUUCCCAAACACAGAGAAUAGCUGUCUUAAUCCCUAUGGGAUACUCUAACAAAAUACUAUAGACUAUGUAUAUUUUAGACAGCAGGGCUUGGUGCCCAGUCCUGGAGUUUGAGGUUCACUGUACUGGUCUGUUCCUGUCUCUGUCCAUCAGGGCCACCAUAUGCAAUCCCACAGCCCAGGCGGCUGACACACAGCAGGGCUUGGUGCCCAGUCCUGGAGGCUGAGGUCCAAGGUCCAGGCGUAGCAGAGCCCGUGUCUGGUGAGGCUGCUUCCCGGGUCCCAGGUGGCGCCUUCUUGCUGUGUCCUCACCUGGUGGAAGGCAGGGGGCUCUCUGAUCCCCUCCACGAGGCUCCACCCUCAGGACCCCAGCACCUCCCAGAGCACCCAGCCCUGACCCCACCACGUUGGGGUCAUUGGGAUGAGGGGUCAACAUGUGAAAUCUGUGAAGAUUCAGAGCUACUCCACUCAAGGAGAUCAGAUUAAUUUAGGGAGAUCAAGGGGAAAAAAUAUGUCCAAUUUUCUAGAAAAUAUAGAACCCAGAAAUACAAGUGUUCAUCUCUACUUCUACGGAUGGCAAAACCCUACAUAAAGAGAAGUCUGCUGAAGGUGAAGUUCUGGGAUGAUGAUUUAUUUUCCCAUUUCUCCCAAGUUGCUUCAGGUGGUGUACGGGUGCAAAGAAGUUAAUCAUAUUGAUAAUUUCUGGUGAAAUUGUGUAUAACUUUAUACUAACAUUCCAUAAUGGUUAAUUUUUUUUUUUUUUUUUUUUUGCAGGAGGUUGUCAAACCCGGAAUCUGUGUACUGAGCUACAGCACUGGCUUUAUUUUAUUUUAUACCCACAUAUUCCCAAUGGCAAUUUUAGCCCUGCUUUUGGGCUGCCACCCAUCCCAUAGGAUAAAGUGUAGAAUUUCCCACUGCUUUCAUGUUCUGAGUUCCAAAAGUUAUAAGUUUUGGAGUAUAUUCGUUUUCUUAUUUUCAGAUUAUGGAUUUCAACCCUGUGGGUUUGUUUUUUUUUUAAGUGUUGGAUAAAUCUGGGGUCAGCAGCACACACAACUGUCAUCCCAGUGCUUUGGGAGGCCGAAGCAGGAGAGUCCCAAGUUCCAUCCCAGCCUGGGGAACUUAGUGACAACGCUUAGACUGUCUCAAAAUUUUAAAAAUUUAGAAAGGGAUUGGGAUGGAGAUCAGUGUGAAGGCCUUGGGUUCAAGCCUCACAGUGAAAAAUUUUAUAAAUAAAUAAAUAACAAUUUUGUCCUUUCAAAAAAUAACUGUGCUCCAUAAAAAGCUAUGUCUUCAGCUUUUGUUAUUUUAGUGAUUCACAUUAAAUUUAAUAUGUGUCUUAUUAUUAGCAGGAAGACACUAAAACUAUGCUUUCCACUCUCCUAGAAGGAGACAGUAUUUCCGACUCUGAUUACUUCCUUUGCCUCCAACAAGUUAUUGGGACAUUAAUUUUGUCUCCACCUUCUUUUCUACCUUCAAGUGAGCCAUAAUGUUACUGAUGGGGACUAUGGAGGUUCACCUAGCUGUAGGAAUUUCCCAAAGCAGUGGUGCUGUAUGCGCCCAGUGCUGGCUGGGAUUUAUAUUCUGCUUUCUUCUUCUUCGUCCUUCUUCCUUCUUCCUUCCUUCUUCUUUCUUCUUUCUUCUCUCAGCACCGGGGACUGAACCCAAGGCCUUUGCACACAACUCCAUCCCAGCCCCUCUUUGUAGCUCAUUUGGAGACAGCGUCUGGCUGAGUUGCUCGGUUGCCCAGACGGGGUCCACACUAGCUACGCUCCUCCCUCAGCCUCCCCGAGUGUGGGUCGGUUCCUGUUUUCCCCCAGCAUUUCUCAUUCCCUGUCCAUCCUGCUGAUCCUGGUGUCUUCCUCUUCCUGAGGAAAGUUCUCUUUAGGAACCAGUCCUUUCUGUCCGCAUUUGCUGUGCGGAGUCGAGACCUGACCCCAUCCUGCUCAGCGCUGAAGAUGGAAAUCUUUCUCUGCAGGUGUUUCUAAACUUUGGAUUUUUGAAAUCAUGAUGGACCCCAGGGAGCUAUCACUUGCUAUUUCUAUUUCUCUCUCUCUCUCUCCUUUGUUAGAAAAAUGUACACGUUUUCUCUCUCUACAAAUUCAGGUUUUCAAGCAGACUAUCUUGAAAUUCAUUCAAAAAAUAACUUGGUAGUCAAAGAGGAGGCAUGAUCUUUCUUUCUUUCUCUUUCUUUCUCUCUUUCUUUCUUUCUUUCUUCACACAGGGUCCCGUUAUGUAUCCAUGGCUGGCCUCAAACUUUCCAUUCUCCUGCCUCAGCCUUCCUUAGCCAGCACACAGCCCGUUGCCCUGGGAAUCCCAAGAUUAUGGUAUGAUGUGAUAGAAGCCAUGAUCAACUGGCAUCCUGGGGAUUUAUUAUGGCUCCACUGGGGACAAUCCCAUACUGGCAUGGGAGCCAAAGGCAGGAGGAGGAGGUGCCCUGCUGGGGAAACACCUACAACAGCCAAAUCUUGGAAGUGGACUGUAUGUCUAUCAGCUGAUACAUGCAUAAAGAAAAUGUGGUGUUUACACACAAUGGAGUACUAGUCUGCCGUGAAGAAGGAUAAGCUUGAGGCACAUGUAGGAAAAUGGAUGCACGUUGAGACCAUAAUGUUAAGCAAAAUAAAUCAGGCACACGAGCUUCAGUGGGGCAUGGUUUCUCUUCUAUGAGAACUCCAACGUGUAAAUAAAGAGCACAAUAAAAGACAGAAAAUAGAAAGGAGGGAGAUGAAGCUUUUGCACGUGAGAAGCGGACCAAAAGAUGCAGGGGUGGAAAGGGCAGGCGGGAAGCAAACAGGAUGAAGUUGUCCGUGCACCACGUUCCCACGGUGAAGGCAACAUUACAGACAGCAAACACAGACUAACGGAAAGCAAACACAAACCGAAAGACAGCUCAGUGUCAGGUGCGGACAACGCAGUGUCUUGCUCUGGAAUCCUGCACACCCGGAAGAGGAGCGUGUGGGCAGCGUUUGUUGACUGCCCCACACGAGCCGCGCCAAGGUCCUGUUCAGCCUCACUGUCUGUGCUCCCGUCCCCCGCGGAUCUGGCCGUGACUUUCUCUUCUUCUUCGGAAAGCACAGAAGUUCUUUGCUAAGACCAGGUUGCCAGUCCUUGGGCUCUUUGCAGAAUUCUUUCCUCUUCACCUGAGGACGAGAAGCGUCGGCUGGGGACCUCGUGUGACAAAUGAAUCUCGCAGAGAUGUUUACAGGCUGCUUAAACAAACUGCGGAUCCUUAAUCGAGUUGGGUCAACCGUGUUUAUCCGUGGGGUCCGUGCUUAGGGGCUGGAGAGCAAAUCAACAAAUACAAGUCGGGCAUCGCUGACCCGGGAAGGGUCUCCAGGGUGGGAAAUGGCAGGGCAACGUGCUUGCCAGUCACUCAAGGUCACCUUGAAAUCUCAGCAGUGGGAGUGGAAAAGUCGAUCUAUUGCGCAUGGUGACUUAAUAAAACUUGGUGAAUCUUCCUCUGGGAUGUGGACUCUCUAAGCAGUUUCGAUGUCCGGGUUAUCUUUUAUUUUGCCCAAAAUAAACUUUUUCUUAACUUGCUUUGGAAUUUGUUUCUGGAAGAAUACUCCCCAGAGGAAAGAGGGUAGCCACGGUUUCUUGAAAACUGCAUUUCUCCUCCCAAAACUCUGUGCUGAGAAUUCAAGUCGCCCCCUGGCUACGGGGCCGGCUGUCUGACACAGUCACCGAAACACGCGGUUUCAUGAAAGCUGCUCCCUUAGCAUCAUCCUCAGGCUCUCAGAUCUGCAAAGUCCCAUAAAAGUAAAAAAUAAAAUUGCAAAGUGAAAUACCUGAGCAUGGAGGCACACACCUGUCAUCCCAGUACUCUGGGAGGCCAGGGCAGGAGGAUCACAAGUUCCAGUCCAGGCUGGGCAAUUUAGCAACUUAGUGAGACCAUCUCAAGUCUCAAAAUAAAAACCGAAAGGAUGGAGCUCAGUGUGAAGGCUCUAGGUUGAAUCCUCAGGACUGCAAAUACACAAAACAAAUUUUG